GGAUCCUUGAUCCUUGCUCUUUGCUCUUGGGUCAGAGUUGGGCACAAUCCGAGGGAACCCACCAUCAACUUUCUCAAUUGAAGCUGAAUUUUACGGUAGGACGCUCAAUUCACUUUCUGGGGUUUCACAGUUCUUCCUCUUCCACCCUUUGCAGAAAUGGCUGAAGCAAAGAGAUCAAACCCUGAUGUGGAGAAGAGGGUGAUGGUGGCCGUAGACGAGAGUGAGUGUAGCUACUAUGCCCUAAUCUGGGUACUGGAAAAUCUUAAACAAUCCAUUGCCGACUCGCCUCUUUUCAUCUUCACGGCUCUACCUCCGCGCACCAGUUAUACCUCCGGUGCCGGUGCCUCUCUCGGCCUCGCGCGAUCGUGUUUCCCUGUCGCAUCCAAUACCGAGUUGGCUCAUACGCUUCAAGAGAAUGAUAAGAAAGUUAGAUGCGGCAUCCUAGAGAAAGCAAAAGAUAUCUGUGCUGAAAGAGGGGUGGCUGCGAUAUCCAUCACAGAGGUUGGGGAUCCUGGAAGGACGAUAUGUGAUACGGUUGAAAAGCUCAAUAUAAAUUUGCUUGUUUUGGGUGAUCAUGGCAUUGGGAGAAUUAAGAGAGCUCUGAUCGGGAGUGUGAGCAACUACUGUGUUCAAAAUGCCAAGUGCCCUGUCCUUGUCGUGAAGAAACCAUAGGAAUAUGAGGCCUUUCCUCAGAGUAUAAACUUGAAGAAAAUCUGUCAACCAAAGAUGCUAUUCAAAACAGCUGCUAAUCUGACUCCGCCUUGUGCCAACCGCAGAUUUUGCUUUCUGGUGUACCAGUGAACUUCAAUCGUGUUUCCUCCCUUGUCUUCAGCAAACCCAACAUGAAGAGGCUGCAUUUUAUGUCAGAAGCUGGGAAGUAUAGUUGUUAAUGGCCCCUGCAACGCACCGACCUUCCACUCCAUUUUCGUCUUUGCAGUCCCCUUUCGACCCAAACGACAAAAGUUCAGAACCAGAAAGGCGAGAGAAAUUAGAACAACAGAGAGGGGAUGGAAACAGAGUAACUCAACUGGCAUAUUGGUAAGUACAAAGGGAUUCCGGAGUAUUAACAUAAUGAAGAGCAGAUGACCAUCGAUAUCGAAACUUGAUUCGAUCAGCCCAAAUACAAACGUUCGCCAAUUCACCAUUUGCAUACUCAGGCAACAGUCGCUGCACUGCAUCAGCUGCUGCUCUGCUCAACCGCGACUGUCGCAAGCAAAAACA